rnacentral:pre_miRNA from 11 species
AAGUCCUGGGGCGAUUGUCGGCUUAGUCGCUGUAUCAUUUCAACUGCUGUGCAGUUCUUCGCUAGUGACUAGACCGAACACUCGUAUCCCAGGCCUUUAC